rnacentral:tRNA from 1 species
GAGGGUAGAGCUCAGUGGUAGAGCACACGCCUAGUAUGCAUGAGGCUCUGGGUUUAAUCCCCAGCACAUCCA